GACAGAGGGUGCAAACGUUGUUCGGAAUCACUGGGCGUAAAGCGUGUGUAGGCGGCUUCUCAAGUCGGGUGUGAAAUCCCAGGGCUCAACCCUGGAAGUGCAUUCGAAACUGGGUAGCUAGAGUACUGGAGAGGAAGGUGGAAUGCUUGGUGUAGAGGUGAAAUUCGUAGAUAUCAAGCGGAACACCGGUGGCGAAGGCGGCCUUCUGGACAGAUACUGACGCUGAGACACGAAAGCGUGGGGAGCAAACAGGAUUAGAUACCCUGGUAGUCCACGCCGUAAACGAUGAGUGCUAGAUGUCAGGAGCUUUGACCCUCUUGGCGUCGUAGCUAACGCAAUAAGCACUCCGCCUGGGGAGUACGGCCGCAAGGCUAAA
rnacentral:rRNA from 1 species